CCCUUAGAUGUCCGGGGCCGCACGCGCGCUACACUGAAGGAAUCAGCGUGGCUUUCUCCCUGACCCGAAAGGGUUGGGAAACCCGUUGAAUCUCCUUCGUGAUAGGGAUUGGGGCUUGAAAUUGUUCCCCAUGAACGAGUAAUUCCCAGUAAGCGCGAGUCAUAAGCUCGCGUUGAUUACGUCCCUGCCCUUUGUACACACCGCCCGUCGCUACUACCGAUUGAACGGUUUAGUGAGGGCCUCGGAUUGGUCUCGGCCCGCUCUUUACCGGGCGGCGCCGUUGGUCGAGAAGACGCUCGAACUUGAUCGUUUAGAGGAAGUAAAAGUCGUAACA
rnacentral:rRNA from 1 species